rnacentral:rRNA from 1 species
AAAUUGAAGAGUUUGAUCAUGGCUCAGAUUGAACGCUGGCGGCAGGCCUAACACAUGCAAGUCGAGCGGUAGCACAGAGAGCUUGCUCUCGGGUGACGAGCGGCGGACGGGUGAGUAAUGUCUGGGAAACUGCCUGAUGGAGGGGGAUAACUACUGGAAACGGUAGCUAAUACCGCAUAAUGUCGCAAGACCAAAGUGGGGGACCUUCGGGCCUCAUGCCAUCAGAUGUGCCCAGAUGGGAUUAGCUAGUAGGUGGGGUAACGGCUCACCUAGGCGACGAUCCCUAGCUGGUCUGAGAGGAUGACCAGCCACACUGGAACUGAGACACGGUCCAGACUCCUACGGGAGGCAGCAGUGGGGAAUAUUGCACAAUGGGCGCAAGCCUGAUGCAGCCAUGCCGCGUGUGUGAAGAAGGCCUUCGGGUUGUAAAGCACUUUCAGCGGGGAGGAAGGCGUUAAGGUUAAUAACCUU